CUCAGCUGAGUUUAAGGUUUAAUCUCUUUAAUACAAAAGUUUCUGCUUUGCUUUUUCUGGGUUCUGGGACUCUUGCUAAUGAUGCUAAACAAAUAAUCACCCUUUAUUCCCCUCUGGAGGCUUUCCUGGGAGCAUUGUGGCCGCACAGGCCUUGACUGUUGUGGUUUACGGGCCAAGCCUGCACCUGCACUAUUUGUGUGAGCUCAUCUGGACCCCAGAAGGACUUUUAGAGUCAAGUGCAGCACCAGUGAGCAGAUCUGGAGAGAAGCCACCAGUCCAGGGGCUACUAGAACACCCAGCAGAUACCAACCCUAUGCUGCCCAUUCUGGUGCAGCUCCUGCCCAGGCCCCUGUGGAAUAUCCCCGCCCCCGGCCCUCUUCCCAAGACCUAGCUCCUUCUUUAUGUUUCCUCCAAGUCUAUCUUUUUCUUCUCCCAGGGUCCAACCCCUGCACACUUCCCCUUCCAGACUUAGCUCCAACCCCUCCGUCUCCACCUCCUGUUCCACACCAUCUGGUGCCAUUUCUAAGUCCGUUUUCCUGUUUGUUUUAGAGCUUCACCCUCAGGACUCAUCAAGGGACUCAGACUAGCCCGAGGCAAGAGACUUCAGGCCACCACAUCAAAGGCAUGAAGGACUUCCAGUCUAUCCUCCAGCCCCUCAAGGAUAAGGAAGGACUGGUGGGGUGGAGGGAAGCAAACUCCUACACCAGCGACGGCUGCUGCAUCCAGGGAGAGCGCCAGUGGCUGCCACAGUCCAAGGGAACCGCACCACUCCAGGAACAGACCGGGCACAGAUCACCCUCCUUCAGCUCCAAGCUCAGAGUCCUCAGACCCCAGUUCGAAUCAUCCGCUGCGUCCUUAGGGCUUCCCUUGGGUUGAGUGUCACGCAUUCCCCUGCACUCGGGCACACGCAUAUGUAUGUCCAUGUCUCUCCCACACUUGAUUAUAAACUCCAUGUCAGUGGCUC
rnacentral:lncRNA from 1 species